rnacentral:rRNA from 1 species
UACAGAGGGUGCGAGCGUUAAUCGGAAUUACUGGGCGUAAAGCGUGCGUAGACGGUUACGUAAGUCGGAUGUGAAAUCCCCGGGCUCAACCUGGGAAUUGCAUUCGAGACUGUGUAGCUAGGGUGCGGAAGAGGGAAGCGGAAUUUCCGGUGUAGCGGUGAAAUGCGUAGAUAUCGGAAGGAACAUCAGUGGCGAAAGCGGCUUCCUGGUCCAGCACCGACGUUCAGGCACGAAAGCGUGGGGAGCAAACAGG